rnacentral:rRNA from 1 species
AACGAACGCUGGCGGCAUGCCUAACACAUGCAAGUCGAACGAGACCUUCGGGUCUAGUGGCGCACGGGUGCGUAACGUGUGGGAACCUGCCCUUAGGUUCGGAAUAACUCCCCGAAAGGGGUGCUAAUACCGGAUAAUGUCUUCGGACCAAAGAUUUAUCGCCUUUGGAUGGGCCCGCGUUGGAUUAGCUAGUUGGUAGGGUAAAAGCCUACCAAGGCGACGAUCCAUAGCUGGUCUGAGAGGAUGAUCAGCCACACUGGGACUGAGACACGGCCCAGACUCCUACGGGAGGCAGCAGUGGAGAAUAUUGGACAAUGGGCGAAAGCCUGAUCCAGCAAUGCCGCGUGAGUGAUGAAGGCCUUAGGGUUGUAAAGCUCUUUUACCCGGGAUGAUAAUGACAGUACCGGGAGAAUAAGCUCCGGCUAACUCCGUG